GUUGAUUGGCCGGUGCAGUAUGAAGAAUAUAUGGGGUUCAACAAGAGGUUAUUCAAUCUGAAAAUCUAAGGAAGCGUACUCUGCCGAUAAGCCGGCUCGGUAUUAGGCGAGCAGAUCUCACGAGAAAUAACGCGCUUAAAAUUUAUAAAAAUUUUUAAAAUGCAUGUAAGCAAUUUUUUUAUUUGAUUUGUCUUGUCUUGCCAGGUUAUUCGCACAUCCUUGGUUGCUAACAUCGCAUCGUUCUGUAGAAAACAGCUCCGUCAAGUGAUUCGUCCAUGAUGUAAUGCAGAGUGAUUCUCCCCACCGCUCUCCUACGAGUGCUCCGCGACAGCCUCUUGACGGUAUGGUGGAGAUUGACAAAUAUCUUGAACGAUGCGUUGUCGCGGGACUCACCAGCUCUAAAACGAUGCUCCGCGAGACGCUAUCGUUGACGUCGUAAAGGGAUGCAUGUUGCAAGAGCAGCGUCGAAUCACGAUUGUCGUCGCAUUCUUUGAGAUAAUCCUACCAUCGUGUCGAGAUUUAGACAAUCUGCGUUUGGAGGAGACGAGGAAUAUAUCGGUUCUGUCGAUAUGGCUAUCGUCGAGGAGUUCGAGUACUUGUGCCGUCUGUGCGCGACCAAAACUGGCAUCUUGAUGGGUUUGCCAAUUUUCGAGGCCGGCAAUCAGAUGCGCAGCAUCGAUAAGAAAAUAGCAGCUUGUCUACCGGUUCAGGUGUCGCUGACAGAUCAACUGCCCAAAGUAGUCUGCCAAGAGUGUGCAUUCAAACUGGAUCAAGUAUACGAUUUUCGUGAAAAAUGUUUACAUACAGAAGGAAUGUUUAUGGAAAUGUUGAAAGAAAUUGGCAAAGAAGGAGUCGUGCAUAUAUCAGAGCAUGACUUGGCAACUGUGAAUAAUAUAGGCGCAAUUCAAAGAAACCUGAACAACAUACAGAUGAAUAAUGAAGAUAUACAAAGUCAUUCGGCUGUAGCUCAUGAGACUGCAGAAUCUAUACAUACAAUGCAAGUAAUGGAUGAAAUGGACUUAGCUGGUGGCGAGCAAGUAGUUUCCCAGGAAGAAAUUGGUCAACAAGAUACAGAUAUCCAAGUUACGGGCAUUGGUUGUUUAGAUGGUGAUACUGUGAGAAUAGUGGAUGAACAUAUGCGAGAAGUUUCAAACCAUCAAAUUGCAAUGCACUUAGAAGGUGAUAUGACAGUAGUUGAAAACUUGGAUGGCCAUUUAAGUCAGUUAGGCAUAAAUUAUGUUACUUCUAUCAGUCACGAGGAUCAGAGCCAAGAGCAGAUAGUACAUUAUUGUGAAAACGUAAAAUAUGAAGCAGAACAAAUAAAGCAGGAAUAUAAAAUCAUAGAUCAUCAUAGAUUACAAGAAGGAUUAACCACAGACGAGCAACAACAUGUACUUGAAAAUAAUGUAUCAGCAGACAAUUUUGUCCCCUCUCAGACCGACGCGGAAAGUGAAAUAGAAGAAUCUUGUAUGAAUGAAACUGGAGCUCGCGAGCAUGUAGAUUCUGUAAGUUUACCAUCCACGAGUCAGAUUAAUGGCGUACCAUGCGAGAUUAUGGUUAAAUACACAAAGAGAACAAAGCACUCGUUGUUAGAAUCCGUUAUCAACAACCCUACUGCAGACGAGACUGGUCAACACUGGUACGUGUGUCCGUUCUGCAAUGAAGCUGCUAUGGAUACGACCAAUAUGGCAGCACACUUCGAGCAACACUUUUGUUGCUGCCCCUGCGACUUAUACUUUACUAGUGUCGAAGUAUUAAAUUUACACAAGGAACAUUGCGAUGUGUAUAAAAACAAAGUAGUCGAUAAGAAGAAGGACGCACAAUUAGACGUAGGAAUACCGUCGCAAGAGAGCAACGACAAUCAAGAGGAGCAGAAAAAGCAAGCACCGGUGAGGCGAAAGUGGACUGCCAAGGUGUGCACCGAAUGCGGCAAGCAGUACAGGACAAAUUACAAGCUGCAAGAGCACAUGCGUAAGCACACGGGCGAGAAGCCAUUCCAGUGUACGACGUGCGACAAGGCGUUCCGCAGCAAGAUCGGCCUCGCGCAACACAUGGCCACGCACACAGGUCAGUACGAUUACAACUGCUCCACGUGCGGCAAGGGUUUCCAGUGCAAGAGCUAUCUUAUCGUGCACCAAAGAGUACACUCGGACGUGAAGCCAUAUCCGUGCGACACUUGCGGCCAGAACUUCAAGACGAAGCAGUCACUGUUGGACCACGAAAAUCGUCACCGCGGCGUGAAGCCGUACAUAUGCGAGAUCUGCGGUCGCGGCUUCAUCACCAAGGGCCUGUGCAAGAGCCACCAGAAGAUCCACUCCGGCACGGACAAUCGCCAGUACCCGUGCAAGGUGUGCAAUAAGAUGUUCGUCAGCAAGAGUUACUUGAACACCCACCUCCGCAUUCACACGGGCGAGAAGCCAUACCUGUGCGAGGUCUGCGGCAAGGGAUUCCUCACGCGGGUGGACCUGAAGAUCCAUUCGACCAUGCACACCGGCGAGAAGAGCUUCAAAUGCGAGAUUUGCGGAAAAGUGUUUGCGCGGCGCGCGGCGUUGCGCUGCCAUCGGCGAUCGCAUACAGGCGAGCGUCCUUACAGAUGCGACGUCUGCGGCAAAACGUUCACGCAGUUUAGCCCGAUGGCGAUCCAUAAGCGUCUGCACACCGGCGAGCGUCCUUACAAAUGCGACGCGUGUGGCAAGGCCUUCGUGUCCAGAUCGACCAUGAUGUGCCACAGAAAGAAGCAUCAUGUCACGACGACCGUUACGCAGAAGGACGAGCCGGCCGCGUACAACGAGGACGCGGAGGUCAAAAUUAUCCUUUCGUCCGAAAUUAUAGUCAAAGAUACGCACGAAGCGAUUCAGAUUAGCGGGGAUUGAACUGGCGAAUCGUGGCAGACGUGUGAAUUCCACGACUAAGGCUUCGGCUGUAACACAAAUCUUUGGGUGCUAAGAAGAUUUCAUCCGCAUGCGUUUAGAACCCACAUCAUGAAAAGAAGGGAACGUUAACGUUAAGAAAAGUGAAAUAUUUUCUUAUACAUAUUAGCAAAAUAUUAUUUAACAAAUCGAAAGCUGAUGCGAUAAUAUUGAUGUUCAUGCUUUUGCAAAUCAGAAACAUUUUCGGAAUUUAGACGAGAAUCCAAGAGUAGAUAAUCGCUCCGAAUAUCGCAUAUUUCUAUGCAACUAUCUGAAAAUAAAGCUCUGACUAAAUAUAAAUCAGCUUUCUGUACUACACAAAGUAGAAGUUGUGAUAUAUAAUAAAAUAAUUAAAUAUAUUAUUUGUAAGAUUGUGAUGAUUGUAAUAUUAACGAAAACCUUUUGGAAGAAAAUAUAAAGAGCUUUACAUCGACGUGUCUUUGUCGCCAUGUUUCUAAACGCACCCAUCAAAAUCGCAUAAAUUUCUCCUAUUUCUAGCAAGUAUUUGUGUAUUUCUUAUGAGAAGAGUCCUCGACGGCGAGAGUUAGGGCAAGAGCAAGGAAUGAAUAUAACUUGAAUUUUAAUAAAAAUUCGUUUUAUUUCGACAGUACGAAAUGAGUCUCGCUGAAGCUGCUCGGUACGUACUUUCGGUACGUCGACUCUACCAGCAGCAAUAACGCAAGUAUCGAGAAAAAUCGAUAUAAAUUUAUAUGUAGUUUUCUUUUCCAUUUUGUAAUAACCUUUUUAUUAUCUUGAAUACCAGUUGAACGCAGCUGUUAUAUGUGCACAGCGAGUGUACGUGAUAACAACCUUUACAAUAACUGCUGCUGGCUUCGCCUAUACCGUUCUACAAUUGACAACGAAUGUUUAUUCUAUAAUUUGACAUUAACUACCUACGCAAGGCAUCGAUGACAUAAUUUAUUUCAUAAUUCUGUUUGCCUACGCGCUAUAUCUACACGCUUGAGGGGCCCCUAAGCUACACGGAUGACGACGAACUAUUCCCAAUCAAUUGCAAAUUAUACGGUAUACAUUUAUAUGACGUAGUCUCGUAAAUACAAAAUACAUAUAAAAUUGUAAAUGGCUUUAAGUAGAAAAACGGAAACUUAUGCGACGGUUCAAUGAAGUACAAAAUACGCUCGUCGUUGUUCGAUAACUCCUUUACAAUUUUAUCGAAAUAGAGCACUGUGUCUAUUACUUUAAUGCAGUUUCCUUCCUCUACGUAUCGCUCAAUAUUUUUGUAAGCGUGCAGGGGGCCCUCGCUAAAUCGGUGGUCAAUCGGUGUGAACAAAUUCUCUAGUAGUGUGUUAAAUACGUAUAUUACAAAGCACC
rnacentral:misc_RNA from 1 species